UACGUAGGCAGCGAGCGUUGUUCGGAGUUACUGGGCGUAAAGGGUGUGUAGGCGGUUGUUUAAGUUUGGUGUGAAAUCUCCCGGCUCAACUGGGAGGGUGCGCCGAAUACUGAAUGACUAGAGUGCGGGAGAGGAAAGUGGAAUUCCUGGUGUAGCGGUGAAAUGCGUAGAUAUCAGGAAGAACACCCGUGGCGAAGGCGGCUCUCUGGAACGCAACUGACGCUGAGACGCGAAAGCGUGGGGAGCAAACAGG
rnacentral:rRNA from 1 species